rnacentral:lncRNA from 1 species
ACUUAUCAGUGAGUACAUAUUGUGAGAGUUCCUUUGUGAUUGGGUUACCUCACUCAGGAUGAUGCCCUCCAGGUCCAUCCAUUUGGCUAGAAAUUUCAUAAAUUCAUUCUUUUUAAUAGCUGAGUAGUACUCCAUCGUGUAAAUGUACCACAUUUUCUGUAUCCAUUCCUCUGUUGAGGGGCAUCUGGAAAUCAGUCUGGAGGUUCCUCAGAAAAUUGGAAAUAGAUCUACCUGAAGACCAAGCAAUACUACUCUUGGAAUAUACCCAAAAGAUGCCCCACCAUGCCACAGGGGCAUGUGUUCCACUAUGUUCAUAGUGACCUUAUUUGUCAUAGCCAGGAGCUGGAAACAAUCCAGAUGUUCCUCGACAGAAGAAUGGAUACAGAAAAUGUGGUUCAGAUCCAUCCAUUUGCCUAAGAAUUUCAUUAAUUCAUUGAUUUCAAUGGCUUAGUAGUACUCCAUUAUGUAGAUGAAGGGAAUAUGGUAAAUGUUCCCAUCAGAUGCCCAGCUGCAUCCAAGAAUUGACUUAAAACAAAGACUCCCGUAGGCCACUGAUUUAUUUUUCAUUUUUGGAAUAGUGACGAUUCUUGUGCAUUAUCUAACCCUGAACAGGUAUCCUAUUAAACCUAACAGGUCUUUUGACACAAGCACUACCAAUAAGCUACUGAAGCAUAUUCCUAUCUAGGUUUGCUGUAGAUUAUGAGAUCCUAGGCUUAGAAUUGCUGAUGCAUACAGCUAAUACUUUGAGUAACAUGGAAGGCUGUAAGUGACUUUUGUCUAUGAGAGGAAUUAAGUCGUUGGGACCCAAUGGUCAGAUUAGAUUUCCCUCUAAAAUUGUCUGAAAUAACUCAGUCUCCAUGCCUGUGCACUCUUCUACAACACUGGACUGUGAAUGUCAUGGGUGACAAGCUCCAAGUGGAACAUUAUGUCCAUAAUAAGUAAUACUUAAAAUAUUAAGGUUUUGGAAAACCCUUAAUCCAAUUAUCUUAGAAAAUUAGAUCUCAUCUUUGUAGUGUGCAUAGGAAUCAUUAUUUAAUCCUUGCUUACCUGGAUUGGAAUCGAGACUUCAUUUUUGGACAAAUAAAAACAUUCUAGGCUGAUUCAUUUCUUUAAAUUGCCAUUCAUGAGUGGGCUUCAUGAUAUUUUGUGAAGACUAACUACGUUAAAAUUAUGUAAAUUGACUAGGCUUACAAAAAAGUGAUAAAAACUGUUUAUAAUUAUUGUUUUAUUGGGAUUUAUUUGUUUAUUUUUGAGAGAGAAUCUCAAUUUAUAUUCCUGGAUGGCCUAAAACUCACGAUGUAGACCAGGCUGGCCUUGAAUGCUGAGAUGCCCUGUCUCUAUCUCCCUAGUGUUGGGCGUAAAGGUGUGAGCCACCAUGCCCAGCUUUAAUAUUUGUAUACUAUGUGAGAGUUACAGAGAAAGAGAACAGGUAACCCAAAUUGGCCUCAUGCUCUUGGGCAUUGAUGCAAUUGGGGUCACCAUGUAUGCCUACUCUUUAGGAUCAACUGUUGAGAAGUAGAGGGCUGGUUUGUUUUAAAAUAUGGUUUAAACCAUGAUUGUAUAACUUGUAAAAUUUGCUUGGAUGAAAUUGAAAGUCAAUUUAUAGGCCAUCAUUCACCUAUUUGGUCAAAUUGUAGCUCCCAAGUCUUUUCUUCUUAUUUACACAAAAGGAUGAUAUUGUAAUGAGCAAUUUAGGUUUGAGUGAUGUGAAAUAGUAAAAUAUACUUUAAAGUCUGGUUGUAUUCUUCCACUGAUCAUUGUAAAGGGAUAACUAUAGAGUAUUUAAGAAAAUCAAAAAAAGAUUUCAACUAAUUGACUCAUUUCUCUAAUUGCAUUUUAAACUGUAUCUGCCUGUACUAUCUGGGGAAAAAAAUGCAAGCAAUUAUAUUUUCC